GACGAACGCUGGCGGCGUGCUUAACACAUGCAAGUCGAACGGUGAUGCAGAGCUUGCUCUGCGGAUCAGUGGCGAACGGGUGAGUAACACGUGAGUAACCUGCCCUUGACUCUGGGAUAAGCGUUGGAAACGACGUCUAAUACCGGAUACGACCCGUGGAGGCAUCUCCUGCGGGUGGAAAGAGUUUCGGUUGAGGAUGGACUCGCGGCCUAUCAGCUUGUUGGUGAGGUAAUGGCUCACCAAGGCGACGACGGGUAGCCGGCCUGAGAGGGUGACCGGCCACACUGGGACUGAGACACGGCCCAGACUCCUACGGGAGGCAGCAGUGGGGAAUAUUGCACAAUGGGCGCAAGCCUGAUGCAGCAACGCCGCGUGAGGGAUGACGGCCUUCGGGUUGUAAACCUCUUUUGGCAGGGAAGAAGCGAAAGUGACGGUACCUGCAGAAAAAGCACCGGCUAACUACGUGCCAGCAGCCGCGGUAAUACGUAGGGUGCAAGCGUUGUCCGGAAUUAUUGGGCGUAAAGAGCUCGUAGGCGGUUUGUCGCGUCUGCUGUGAAAACGCGAGGCUCAACCUCGCGCCUGCAGUGGGUACGGGCAGACUAGAGUGUGGUAGGGGAGAUUGGAAUUCCUGGUGUAGCGGUGGAAUGCGCAGAUAUCAGGAGGAACACCGAUGGCGAAGGCAGAUCUCUGAGCCAUUACUGACGCUGAGGAGCGAAAGCGUGGGGAGCGAACAGGAUUAGAUACCCUGGUAGUCCACGCCGUAAACGUUGGGCGCUAGAUGUGGGGGCCAUUCCACGGUCUCCGUGUCGCAGCUAACGCAUUAAGCGCCCCGCCUGGGGAGUACGGCCGCAAGGCUAAAACUCAAAGGAAUUGACGGGGGCCCGCACAAGCGGCGGAGCAUGCGGAUUAAUUCGAUGCAACGCGAAGAACCUUACCAAGGCUUGACAUGCACCUGAAAAGGCUGGAAACAGUCUCCUCGCAAGACAGGUGCACAGGUGGUGCAUGGUUGUCGUCAGCUCGUGUCGUGAGAUGUUGGGUUAAGUCCCGCAACGAGCGCAACCCUCGUUCUAUGUUGCCAGCGCGUUAUGGCGGGAACUCAUAGGAGACUGCCGGGGUCAACUCGGAGGAAGGUGGGGAUGACGUCAAAUCAUCAUGCCCCUUAUGUCUUGGGCUUCACGCAUGCUACAAUGGCCGGUACAAAGGGCUGCAAUACCGUAAGGUGGAGCGAAUCCCAAAAAGCCGGUCUCAGUUCGGAUUGAGGUCUGCAACUCGACCUCAUGAAGUCGGAGUCGCUAGUAAUCGCAGAUCAGCAACGCUGCGGUGAAUACGUUCCCGGGCCU
rnacentral:rRNA from 1 species